AAAGUCUGGCCUGCCCUAUGAAUUUUUAAAUGGCUGCGGUACUCUGACCGUGCAAAGGUAGCAUAAUAAUUAGUUUCUUAAUUGGGAACUGGAAUGAAAGGUCGCACGAGAAAAAGACUGUCUCAAUUUAAUUUGAAUUAGAAUUUUAUUUUUAAGUAAAAAAGCUUAAAUGCUAUUAAAAGACGAGAAGACCCUAUAGAGUUUUAUAAUUUUAUAUAUACUUAAAAGUUAAAGUAUUAUAGAUUUAAUUAUAUAUGAAAUUAUUUGGUUGGGGCGACUAAAAAAUUAGAAGAACUUUUUUUACUAAUAAACAUUUAUUUAUGAUUAAGUGAUCCA
rnacentral:rRNA from 1 species